rnacentral:tRNA from 1 species
UCCUGUUUGGCUCAAUUGGUAGAGCGUGGUGCUUGCAAUGCCAGGAUUGCGGGUUUGAUUCCCCCUGGGAU